GACGAACGCUGGCGGCGUGCCUAAUACAUGCAAGUUGAACGCUUGAUUUUCACCGAAGCUUGCUUCACCGAAAAUCAAGAGUAGCGAACGGGUGAGUAACGCGUGGGUAACCUACCUUUCAGCGGGGGAUAACUAUUGGAAACGAUAGCUAAUACCGCAUAACAAUGUUGGAUGCAUAUUCGACAUUUGAAAGUAUCAAUUGGUACACUGAGAGAUGGACCCGCGUUGUAUUAGCUAGUUGGUAGUGUAAUGGACUACCAAGGCGAUGAUACAUAGCCGACCUGAGAGGGUGAUCGGCCACAUUGGGACUGAGACACGGCCCAAACUCCUACGGGAGGCAGCAGUAGGGAAUCUUCGGCAAAUGGACGAAAGUCUGACCGAGCAACGCCGCGUGAGUGAAGAAGGUUUUCGGAUCGUAAAACUCUGUUGUUAGAGAAGAACGUUGCAUAGAGUGGAAAAUUAUGCAAGUGACGGUAUCUAACCAGAAAGGGACGGCUAACU
rnacentral:rRNA from 1 species